rnacentral:lncRNA from 1 species
GCCCCCUUCGCCCUCGGGGGCCUGCGCAGCUUCGGCGACAUCCCAGCCAGCGCCUGGCAGACCAGCACCGUGCUAUGCUCAGGAGGCUGCGUGCUUCUGGCCCUCAGCGCCCUGCUGGCGGUCGUCUCUGUCUUCCUCCCCAGUGGGCUCUUGGAGAGGCGAGUCUGUGCCCUGGCCGGAUACAUGCAGAUGGCAGCAGUGUUCAUCACGGCCUCAGGACUCCUGGUCUACCCUUUGGGUCUCGGCUCAGCUUCUGUGAAAAGCUCUUGUGGGAACACCGCCGGCAUCUACAAUGUUGGGAGCUGCCAGCUUGGCUGGGGUUACACGCUGGCCAUCGUAGGGGUCAUGCUGUCAGGCUUCUUGCCCUUCUUUGCGAAGUAUGCACCCAAAGAGCACAUCUCACCAACCCCGAUGCCCGCUAUUUUAUAGCAGUUGUUACCAACAAAAGGACACCUCGUCUAAAACAAAUGGGCAGAAGGAGCACCAAGGGCAGGUGGAGUCCGAGCCCCCACCAGUGGUCUCAGCAGCGAGAGGAACCUUACGUAGCAACACCCUGUGGAAGCCAGAAUGGAUUUGAAGGGAGGUAAGCUGAGGUUGGAAGACCAUUGAACUGACCAGAUGAAGGGAAAGGGUCCGGUGGCAGAACUGACAACUCUGAGAGGGCUGAGUAGGGUAAAGGUUCUCGGGAGACACCCGGGGCCUACUUUGGGG